CACUCAUGAGUGCUGGGACAAAAGCAAAAGAAAGCAGCUCAUAGUGGACAAGCAUGAACAUGAUGCCUAUCCUGUUUCCUUUUUUAGCUUUUCAUCUUUUCCAUCCUACAAUCCCACCUCUCAAUUGAACCCACUGUCUUAGAUGCUAAGCAAUUAUAAUCAUUUGGAGAUUGUCCAUUUUUAUAUCAUAGGCAUCUCUCUCUCUCUCCCUCUCUCUCUCUCUCUCUCUCUCAAGUUGAUGGUAGUUUCAAGUUUGAGUUCUGAUGAAAAUACAACUCCAACUAGUUCUGAAGCAAGUCAUGGCAUGGUAAUUCAAAUAGAGCGAGCAGAGAGAGACUAUACCCUUAUCAUCUGUACUCCUGGCGGCGUCGGCGCAAUACAAUUGCACCUCUUUAGUGUGCUCUUGUUAUGCACCGGCAAGGCACCCAAACCACAAGGGUGAGGACCACAGUAGAAGCAAGAAUAGCAACAGCAGCAGCAACAGCAACAAGCAGUCCGGUGCAAGAAACAAAGAUGGAGUCCUUGAAAAGACCGAUGGUAAUAAUGAAUCAGAAGAUCAAGAUAAGAGCAAUGGUUGCAGCAACAGUAGUAGCAAUGAGCCCCAUGGACCUCUCACAGUACCCCAUCCUCUCAAGAGUAAUCUCAAGAAAACUAUAAAGGUGGACAAGUCUCAACUGAGUAAUGGGAAGAGGAAAGUUAGUUGGCCAGAUGCCCAUGGAAAGGAUCUUGCUCAUGUUCAAGAAUUCGAGGCCAGUGUAUCUGAGGAAGGGGAACUUGAGGGAGUGCAGAAUUCUUGCAUCUGUGCUAUUCAAUAAAAAAAGAAGAGGUUUAAGGUGACAGUCAUUUAGGUCCAAUCUCAAACAUCUCUCUGUGAAGAUCUCUACUUGCAGGUGUGAUACAGAUCAAUCUCAACCAUGUAGAAUCCUUUAGUUUUUUUUUUUUUUUUUCAUCCAAUUGAGAAUUACAUACAAGUUCAUUCAGGCAAACAGCCAUGUAAUAGAAAAUGAAUGCAUUUACUCUA